UACGUAGGGACCAAGCGUUGUUCGGAUUUACUGGGCGUAAAGGGCGCGUAGGCGGCGUGUUAAGUCACUUGUGAAAUCUCUAAGCUUAACUUAGAACGGUCAAGUGAUACUGAUGUGCUAGAGUGCAGAAGGGGCAACCGGAAUUCCUGGUGUAGCAGUGAAAUGCGUAGAUAUCAGGAGGAAUACCGAUGGCGAAGGCAGGUCUCUGGGCUGACACUGACGCUCAUGCACGAAAGCGUGGGGAGCAAACAGG
rnacentral:rRNA from 1 species